UGGCCCUGCACCGACGGAGGCUGCCGCCUGUGGAAGACCCCUGCCGGAGCAGAUUCCGGGCCGGACCUGUAGCCCGUGGAGAGGAGACCACGCAGGAGCAGGUGAUCUGGCAGGAGCUGCUGAGCAGAACCACGACAAUGUCACCUCUUAAAUCUCUCUGAUAAAGAAUAUCACAACCACAGAAUGACUGAGUUGGAAGGAACCUUUUGGAGGUCAAACCCCCUGCUCAAAGCAGGGUCACUGAGAGCAGGAUGCCCAGGACUGUGUCCAAACAGCUCUUGAAUAUUUCCAAGAAUGGAAACUCCACAGUCUCUCUGGACGACCUGUUCCAGUGCUGUCACUCAUGGUAUUGCUCAUGAUUCAUUCACACAGGAAUGAAGACCCCACCAUCUGUGGUGCUGAAGAAGUGUUUAAAGUCCCAGGCUCUGGAGACACACCAUGGCAUACUGUAAACAGAGCAGGGACCAGAUCAGGACCAGAGGUACAGAGCCACAUAAACCUCACGCCUGCUUCACAGCACAGAAACAGCCAUAGAGACAUCACAGCUGCUGACCUACAGGUUGCAGGAAGGAAAGUUAGUACUAACUAUUACUCUGUGCCUUUUCACUAAGAGCAAGCAGUAGGGAAUAGUGGCAGCAUUGCUCUUUGCCAAGAGCCAGCUUGACUGCAUGGCCGGGAAUUACCUGCACCGAGAGGAAACAACUUAUUCAUCACUAACAUCAAGUACUAAAGCAAAAGAGUACCUUGACUGACUCAUGAUCCAUUUUUUAUUCUUCCCAGGAUAACAGAAUUAUGUGCUGAUUCAGAACAGCUGAUUCAGUCCUGUGUAAUCUUAGCAAUUAACCUCUGUAUUCUUAGUUGUUCAACUGUGUAUAGCUUGACAGGUAAAGUUUUGUGUUUUAUUUUGAAAAAAUAUAUCCUCAGAUGUUCAAUAUGUUUUGUGGUACAACACAAGAAGUAAAGCAGAGGUCACACUAAUUCAAAACAUGGCCUUCAAACUAAUAUUUUUUCCUAUACAUGUUCCCAGAACUCUGCUUAGAUGACUGCUCCAUGUGUAAGUAAAGCAAACCCAAAUAAACAUUAACCAGGCAUUACCUUUUCCCAUACCUCAUAUUCACAAACACAGGGAGAUAAUUUCUAAUGAACUUAUUACUUCAUUAAAAGAAACAAUGCACAGGUGAAACUAUAAAGUCAUCUCCAAUCUCCUUUCCACACAGAAAAUGUUAGCAAUUUUGAUUCAAAUAAAAAUGGAGUAUUCUGAACUCAAAA